rnacentral:rRNA from 1 species
UGAACGCUAGCGACAGGCCUAACACAUGCAAGUCAGGGGCAGCACAAGGAGCAAUCUGAGGUGGCGACCGGCGCACGGGUGAGUAACACGUAUGCAACCUGCCUGUAAGCGGGGAAUAACCCGUUGAAAGACGGACUAAUACCGCAUAAUACUAAAUUACUGCAUGGUAAUUUAUUUAAACAUUUAUGGCUUACAGAUGGGCAUGCGCAUGAUUAGCUAGUUGGAGAGGUAACGGCGUCCCCAAGGCAACGAUCAUCAGGGGUUCGUGAGAGGAAGGUCCCCCCACACUGGUACUGAGACACGGACCAGACUCCUACGGGAGGCAGCAGUGAGGAAUAUUGGUCAAUGGACGAGAGUCUGAACCAGCCAAGUCGCGUGCAGGAAGAAUUGUCCUAUGGAUUGUAAACUGCUUUUGCAGGGGAAUAAAGUGCAUCACGUGUGAUGUUUUGUAUGUACUCUGCGAAUAAGGAUCGGCUAACUCCGUGCCAGCAGCGGC